rnacentral:rRNA from 1 species
GUUUGUUUUUUAGAAAAAGCAGAAAGCGUGUAGAGGUAAAACAUUUAAAAUAAAUAGAAUUUUUUUAGUAAUAGUGCAAUAUUAAAAGAAGAAAAAGAAUUUUUUAUGUGAAGACAAUUUAUUUUUUUCUUUAACACGAAGGUUCUGGGAGCGAACAGGAUUAGAGACCCUGGUAGUCGAUACAGUAAAAGAAAGUCGCUUGAGUAGUACGGUCGCAAGAUUAAAAUUCAAAAAACUUGGCUGUUCAUUGUUAUUUAGAGGAGCGUGUUGCUUAAUUCGAUAAUCCGCGAGUUACCUUACCAAAACUAGCUUUUACAGGUGUU